GCCGCCGCGGUAAUACGUAGGGGGCGAGCGUUAUCCGGAAUUAUUGGGCGUAAAGAGUGCGUAGGUGGUUACCUAAGCAGGGGGUUUAAGGCUAUGGCUUAACCAUAGUUCGCCCCCUGAACUGGGCUACUUGAGUGCAGGAGAGGAAAGCGGAAUUCCUAGUGUAGCGGUGAAAUGCGUAGAUAUUAGGAGGAACACCAGUGGCGAAGGCGGCUUUCUGGACUGUAACUGACACUGAGGCACGAAAGCGUGGGGAGCAAACAGGAUUAGAUACCCC
rnacentral:rRNA from 1 species